rnacentral:rRNA from 1 species
CGUAGGUGGCGAGCGUUAUCCGGAAUGAUUGGGCGUAAAGGGUGCGUAGGUGGCAGAUCAAGUCUGGAGUAAAAGGUAUGGGCUCAACCCGUACUUGCUCUGGAAACUAAUCAGCUAGAGAACAGAAGAGGACGGCGGAACUCCAUGUGUAGCGGUAAAAUGCGUAGAUAUAUGGAAGAACACCGGUGGCGAAGGCGGCCGUCUGGUCUGGAUUCUGACACUGAAGCACGAAAGCGUGGGGGAGCAAAUAGGAUU